GAUGAACGCUGGCGGCGUGCCUAAUACAUGCAAGUCGAGCGAACAGACGAGGAGCUUGCUCCUCUGACGUUAGCGGCGGACGGGUGAGUAACACGUGGAUAACCUACCCAUAAGACUGGGAUAACUUCGGGAAACCGGAGCUAAUACCGGAUAAUAUAUUGAACCGCAUGGUUCAAUAGUGAAAGACGGUUUUGCUGUCACUUAUAGAUGGAUCCGCGCCGCAUUAGCUAGUUGGUAAGGUAACGGCUUACCAAGGCAACGAUGCGUAGCCGACCUGAGAGGGGGAUCGGCCACACUGGAACUGAGACACGGUCCAGACUCCUACGGGAGGCAGCAGUAGGGAAUCUUCCGCAAUGGGCGAAAGCCUGACGGAGCAACGCCGCGUGAGUGAUGAAGGUCUUCGGAUCGUAAAACUCUGUUAUUAGGGAAGAACAAAUGUGUAAGUAACUAUGCACGUCUUGACGGUACCUAAUCAGAAAGCCACGGCUAACUACGU
rnacentral:rRNA from 1 species